CAUAUGUAAUUUAGUUCUUGAAAUGAGAACUCUUAAUAUAGCACACAAUGUGAUGAGAAUGUCUUAAGCAUCAGGAGGUGACCUGCCUCCAUGGAAUAUUGGAAAUUGAGAGAAUGAGAAUGUCUUAAGCAUCAGGAGGUGACCUGCCUCCAUGGAAUAUUGGAAAUUGAGAGAAUGAGAAUUUCUUUAUAACAUAUUUUACUGAUGUUCACUAUUCGAGAGAAUGAGAAUGGAUGCAAGCAGGAGGGUUGUUGCAGAGUGGAAUGAUGGUUUAUAUUUCGUGCUAUUGCUACAGUACCAUUGGAGCAAAAGGAGAAUCUAGGAAACAUUUUGACAAUAUGUUAUCCUUCAUGCAUUUGCACAAUCCUCACUUCUAGCUUUGGUGUUAUCUUUCUGGUACAAUAUAUAAUUAGGUUAGUGGCGCCAACAGUCGUGUGAACACAGGUUGAAUCAUAUCACCAUGCAAAAUGGGUGACAUGCCAUGCCGACCUCUCCCGGAUGUGUGCCAAGACCACUCAGUGGCCUUUACUAUCUUGCACAUCAAGGACGAUGAUUCUUCCUGUACAUAAUGGUGUGCACAAACUUCCUACUUGGUUUGAUAAACUUGAAGAGAGUCGACAAAGAUGCAAAAUGUGAGCUUGAGGCCUGGGGAUGGUUUAUCCGCAAGGUUCAAAACUUCAGGAACCCAAAAAACAUAUAAAGAACUCACUUUUGGGUGGUGCACAACAAUAUAGUCAAAUGCUCUUAUAAUAAACCUGCAGGACAAUGUAUGCAUCAGCUUAUCAGUGGCAUGUUCCAAUUGUUCCUAUAAAAAUAGUAUUGGUUUAUGGGUUCUUCAAAUUCUUUCCCAGGAGGAAGUGUGGGUUUCAUAGGAGUGAACAUUUCAAAAGGUGGCUCUAUUUGUUAAUUUGGCUUAUGGAUCCUUCAU
rnacentral:lncRNA from 1 species